ensembl:rRNA 5S_rRNA 5S ribosomal RNA
GCUUACGGCCAUACCACCCUGAGCACGCUCGAUCUCGUCUGAUCUCGGAAGCUAAGCAGGGUCGGGCCUGGUUUGUACUUGGAAGGGAGACUGCCUAGGAAUACCAGGUGCUGUAAGCU